GAUUUUUGGAAGGUGCGAGCUCGGAUGCGGAGACAAGACGGUGCCGUUGCCAAAGAGAGCUUGCCCCAACGGUACUAUGCACAAUCCCUGCACCGAAGAAGAGCUCAAGCACCUCCAAAAGUGGGCUAAGGACUUGUAAAACAAGAA